rnacentral:ncRNA from 1 species
UUAAGUUAGGUUUGUGGUUGAAAGUCGAUGCCAGUCGCAGGCAAAACGAUCCACGUAAGUUAGACAAAAGGUUUAAUGAGCAUGGUGCGGCUUAGAAGUAAGUCCUGCCGUGAAAAGCGAGAAAAUUAGUAGUGAGAGGAAUAAAACCGGGUAGCGAACAUUUCAGCAGGCGAGUGUGGGGUCAAAGACCAGGUCAACUAACUUUU